rnacentral:misc_RNA from 1 species
UCUUUUUUAACCGACUUCCAAAAAAGGAGGAGGUUCUUAAUUCGACUGUAUUUUUUUUUUUUUUUUUAUGUUACAUCAGAACUUUUGACCGGGUAGACCGAUUUCGACAAAUUUUGUUUUAAUCGAAAGGUGGUGUGUGCCAAUUGGUCCCAUUUAAAUUUAUUUGAGAUCUAACAACUACUUUUCGAGUUAUAUCUAAUAAUGCGUUUUUACUUGACGCUUUUUUCGUCGACCUACGUUGUAUUAUACCACAUAACUUUUUACUGGAUGUGCCGA